GGAUUAGAUACCCUGGUAGUCCACGCCGUAAACGAUGUCUACUAGCCGUUGGGGUCCUUGAGACUUUAGUGGCGCAGCUAACGCACUAAGUAGACCGCCUGGGGAGUACGGUCGCAAGAUUAAAACUCAAAUGAAUUGACGGGGGCCCGCACAAGCGGUGGAGCAUGUGGUUUAAUUCGAAGCAACGCGAAGAACCUUACCUACUCUUGACAUCCACAGAACUUUUCAGAGAUGAAUUGGUGCCUUCGGGAACUGUGAGACAGGUGCUGCAUGGCUGUCGUCAGCUCGUGCCG
rnacentral:rRNA from 1 species